AUUGAACGCUGGCGGCGUGCUUAACACAUGCAAGUCGUGCGGUAACAGGCGUAGCAAUACGUGCUGACGAGCGGCGAACGGGUGCGUAAUACAUGGGAAUCUGCCCUUUAGUGGGGAAUAACCCGGCGAAAGCCGGGCUAAUGCCGCAUAAGAUCUUCGGAUGAAAGCGGGGGAUCGUAAGACCUCGCGCUGAUGGAUGAGCCCAUGUCGGAUUAGCAGUUGGUGAGGUAACGGCUCACCAAGGCGACGAUCCGUAGCUGGUCUGAGAGGACGGCCAGCCACACUGGGACUGAGACACGGCCCAGACUCCUACGGGAGCAGCAGUGGGAAUAUGGACAAUGGGCGAAAGCCUGAUCCAGCGACGCCGCGUGUGUGGAAGAA
rnacentral:rRNA from 1 species